rnacentral:miRNA from 1 species
CCUCGACUCACUUGUAGACCAGGCUGGCCUCAAACUCACAGAGAUUUGCCUGCCUUUGUCUCCUAAGUGCUGG